GGUUUGUGGCUCAGUGGUAGAGUGCUUGCCUAGCAUGCAUGAGGCACUGGGUUCAAUCCCCAGCACCA
rnacentral:tRNA from 1 species